UCCUACCUGAAUAAACGCUUGGAGGUCAGGAGGACAGCAGUGGUGUCGUCUAGGAGUGCAGUGGUGUUGUUUAGGGGUGCAGUGGUGUUAUCUACGGGUGCAGUGGUGUCGUCUAGGGGUGCAGUGGUGUUUUUCUCAGUGGUGUUGUCUAGGGGUGCAGUGUUGUUAUCUAGGGUGCAGUGUGUUACGGGUGCAGUGGUUGGUCAGGUGGUGUUGUCUAGGGUGCAAGUGGUGUUAUCUACGGGUGCAGUGGUGUUAUCUACGGGUGCAGUGGUGUCGUCUAGGGGUGCCGUGUGUCGUCUAGGGGUGCCAGUGGUGUAUUACGGGAAGGUGAUACGUGCGUGCAGUGGUGUAUUACGGGUGCAGGUUCGGUGCAGUGGUGUGUCUAGGGGUGCAGUGGUGUCGCCUAUGGGUGCAGUGGGUAUCUACGGGUGCAGUGUGUUGUCUGGGUCUCUGAUAUCACUUAUUAAUGAUAUCUACAAAGCGCAUUGAUGUGAAUCACACUGCUGCCCUCUCAUUUAGUUAUUUGCGCCGUAGGAUUGUGGGUUGUUGUGGAUUCUUUUCACCAAUGUAUUUUAACCAAUUACAGUGAAUAAUUGAAGGUUUAAGCUGCCUAUUAAUCAUGUUUUUGCUACCAACAAUGAAUAAAAGUGCUCUUGCAACAGCUGCAAAGUCUGGGUGGAUCCCAGCCUGUGGAAUAAACAGUCUGAGGGAUCCCGCCUGUGGAAUAACAGUCUUAGGUGG
rnacentral:lncRNA from 1 species